AGACGAUCUUGUAAACACAAACCUCUAUCAACAUAAAGGAACCAUAAGGAUGAGGAACUGGUAUUCCACAGCUACCUGUGAGAUCUGUAUAUCUAAUCAGAACACCAGAAAGGGGAUUAUUGUUGAAUCAGGAAACAACAGCCAGUAAUGCAUGAACAGCUGAACAAAACUGAGUCAUGCUACGAAACAUCACCUGGGAUUUUAAGACUUGGCCUCAUUAAUUGGAGCUGUGAUAUCCUCCUGAUCUCUUCCUUCCUGCUUCCCAAGAGAAGUGUCAACAUUUAAAACUCGAGAUUUCUCUGCUGAUAUUUUUAAAGAGGUCUAGAUUUUCAGCAAAUUUGACAAGGCUUCUGCACAAGUUCCAGAUCAUUGUUUUUUCAACUGGCACAAAGAGGUUGUUCCUUUCUGAAGGGGACUCAGACCUUGCAGCACCCCAGGCUUUGUUUCCUAUUUGCUGGGAGCCUGGAGGUCCAAGUGCAUGAUGCGCUAACAUUUACAUAUAAAUUGACCUAUUAUAUAUCAUACUGUAUAUAUGCUUGAACGCAUACUUUAUGUGAAAUGGGAAUAGAAAUUUCCAUCUCACAUUCACUGACAAAACAAGUCCAUCAGUGGUCAACUAUGCCCUCAUCCUGAGAGGCAGAUAAAGAUCAGUGAAUGGACACAUUUUAGGGCAUGCUUGCCACACGUGUUAAUACUGAUACGUACUGAAACACAAAGCAAAUCAGCAUGCAGUCUACCAGUGUUCCUCAGCUUCUCUCUCUUUUAGACUAGCAUGAGUGGCUUGAGACCUGCUCCAUGAGUGCCAGAAGCACAAGAAGACGACCUACUGCAGACCUGUCUUUACUAUAAGUGUAAUCCUGCGAAGACUUGGC
rnacentral:lncRNA from 1 species